AAUCAACGCUGGCGGCGUGCCUAACACAUGCAAGUCGAACGCGAAAGGGGCUUCGGCCCUGAGUAGAGUGGCGUCCGGGUGAGUAACGCGUGGGUAAUCUACCCUCGGGUGGGGAAUAACCAAUCGAAAGAUUGGCUAAUACCGCAUAAUGCAGCGGCUCGACAUCGAGACAGUUGUUAAAGCAGCAAUGCGCCAGAGGAGGAGCCUGCGUCUGAUUAGCUUGUUGGCGGGGUAACGGCCCACCAAGGCUACGAUCAGUAGCUGGUCUGAGAGGACGGCCAGCCACAAUGGCACUGAAACACGGGCCAUACUCCUACGGGAGGCAGCAGUGGGGAAUUUUUCGCAAUGGGCGCAAGCCUGACGAAGCAACGCCGCGUGGGGGAUGGAAGGUCUUCGGAUUGUAAACCCCUGUCGACCGGGACGAAAGUACCCGACCUAAACGUCGGAGUGUUGACUGUACCGGUGGAGGAAGCCACGGCUAACUCUGUGCCAGCCGCCG
rnacentral:rRNA from 1 species